ACGAAAUACGGGCAGCGGCGGGCGUAAAGGCGUAGGGGGCGAGUGUGGUCUGGAGUGGUUGAGCGGAAAGUGCGCGUAGGCGGUUCGGUAAGUGAGGUGGUAAAUCGACACGCUGAACGUGGAGGCGCCACCUGAAACUGCCGUGACUCGAGUCCGGUAGGGGAGUGUGGAAUUCCCGGUGUAGCGGUGAAAUGCGCAGAUAUCGGGAGGAACACCAGUAGCGAAGGCGGCACUCUGGGCCGGUACUGACGCUGAGGAGCGAAAGCGUGGGGAGCGAACAGGAUUAGAUACCCCAGUAGUC
rnacentral:rRNA from 1 species